AACGAACGCUGGCGGCAGGCUUAACACAUGCAAGUCGAGCGCCCCGCAAGGGGAGCGGCAGACGGGUGAGUAACGCGUGGGAACGUACCCUUUGCUACGGAAUAGCUCCGGGAAACUGGAAUUAAUACCGUAUGUGCCCUACGGGGGAAAGAUUUAUCGGCAAAGGAUCGGCCCGCGUUGGAUUAGCGAGUUGGUGGGGUAAUGGCCUACCAAGGCGACGAGCCAUAGCUGGUCUGAGAGGAUGAUCAGCCACAUUGGGACUGAGACACGGCCCGAACUCCUACGGGAGGCAGCAGUGGGGAAUAUUGGACAAUGGGCGCAAGGCUGAUCCAGCCAUGCCGCGUGAGUGAUGAAGGCCUUAGGGUUGUAAAGCUCUUUCACCGGAGAAGAUAAUGACGGUAUCCGGAGAAGAAGCCCCGGCUAACUUCGUGCCAGCAGCCGCAGUAACAC
rnacentral:rRNA from 1 species